AAAUUGUAUCGCUUUUCGCAGAGCAUAAUGAUCUUCAAUAUGCUGCCCCAGGAGGUCUUAUUGGAGUUGGAACAAAAAUUGACCCCACUUUGUGCCGGGCUGACAGAAUGGUGGGGCAAGUACUUGGUGCAGUUGGAGCUUUACCUGAGAUCUUCACAGAAUUGGAAAUUUCCUAUUUCCUGCUUAGACGGCUUCUAGGUGUUCGCACUGAAGGAGA